rnacentral:rRNA from 1 species
UAAUCCGACCUAGGCUCAUCUGAUAGCGCAAGGCCCGAAGGUCCCCUGCUUUCUCCCGUAGGACGUAUGCGGUAUUAGCGUCCGUUUCCGAACGUUAUCCCCCACUACCAGGCAGAUUCCAAGGCAUUACUCACCCGUCCGCCGCUGAAUUCAGGAGCAAGCUUCUCUCUACCGCUCGACUUGCAUGUGUUAGGCCUGCCGCCAGCGUUCAAUCUGAGCCAGGAUCAAACUCU